UUAGCAAAAUUUCAGUUAAACAGACAUAAAAAGUCUGACCUUCAAUCAAGGUUUCUACUGAUAUUUAUUUGUUUGUGAGUGUUCAUUUGUUCUGUUAGAGGAAGUCAGAAUAACUGGAGGAGAAGACGGUAGACUGUAAAGUCAGGAGACAGGUGCAGUGGGGUCAGCUGGUGGGACCACAUGUAUAGAAAGCAUUAUUGAUUAAAUGACAUAAACAGUGCUGAUACUCAUGUGUCUAACUCAUCGUUCUGCUGUUCCAGGAGAUGGAAACUUGGGCUCCAGACGACUAAACUGGAGAUGGAGACCUAUUCCCAAACUACCCUUCGGAGUUUCAGAGAUUUUCUAUCUGUUCAACAUGAGGAUGAGUAUCUGAUCCUGGUGAACUCUGGAGACUGGUUUUCAUGAACUCUAGGACUUCAAGCACCUUGGAUUCUGGUCCUCUCUGAUCCUCCUCCAGACUCUGGGACCUUGAUUUGCAGGAGAUGGAACCGUGGGCCCACACAUUAAAGGAUCGUUCACAUGCAUGGAGGGUGAGGAGUCUGAUUUAAAGCUUCCAAAGAAUUCCCAUGUGAUUCCUGAGCUACAGCCAAUCAUGACAAACCUUUUAGAAAGCACAAACACAGGGAGACCAGGCUUUGUACCAUCAGUCUUUCCUGCUGAUUGAGCUGCUCUUUCUUGGUUCAUGAACAUU